AUGAGUACUGAACAAGAACUAGAGUUAUCCACGGCUCGCGUUACUCGCGUUAUAACAUGACCCCCUCCAAUAACCAAGUUAUCUAUCUAUUGACUUGCUUAGCUUCACCACAACAGAGCUACUGAUUCUAAGCAUCAAUAUAGAGAUGCAAGUCAUGUUUAGGUGUUGUACACAGACUCUGUAUGACUGAAGAAUGCAAAGGCAAGAGAAAUCAAAGCAGAUAAGAAAGAAAAGAAAAGUAAAAAAAAAAAAGAAAGAAGAUAUCAUAUAUGCUGAGGAGAGUGUCUAGUUGAUGACAAUAGAAGCAGUAGAUAUUGAAUCUGCUGUGAACAAUCUUGCUACCGAGUCUCUAACCUAGCAAGCUUCUCACUGGUUAUAAGCUAAGGUCAGGGCUUAUAUAGUGUUGCUGAGCUUGUUCACUAAGUCAGAAGGUAGUGCUACUAUCACAGAUUAAGAUAUAAUAUCAAGAGGAAUAUCUAGAAUGACUAGCAAUAGCUACAGUGGCAGUCUAAGAUAAACAAUAAGAAUAUCUAGUAGAGCUUACAAGGUAGGGUGAAUGCUUAAAGUAUGCAUUGUGAAGAAGUAUACUUAAGGUGAGCUUAUAGUUGUACAAUGUAACUGAGUAUAAGUAGAGUAAUCAAUAUAAUAUUGAGUAAAGGAA
rnacentral:sRNA from 1 species